rnacentral:lncRNA from 1 species
UUUAUUUGUUUUUCAAAGCAACAGCCAACAAUAAAAACUAAUUCAAGAAAACAAAUAUAACAUGGACCAGGAUCCCCUAUUAUUUAUAGGAAAAUGAAACUAAGUAACUAUCAUUUCAGUGAGAGAUUACGAUCAUGGCAAUUGCCUUGUUAAACUAUUUUCUGCCGAACGUGCAUUAUAUUGAAUUGGUGCCUUAAUUAAUACACCAAAUGUUGAAUGAUCAAGUUUACAGGGAGAACUCAAUGGGGGCAAGAUAUACAUAUUGAUUUUAUUUCCGACAACCUUUUCCUACUUCAUGAUUUGUUGUAGAUAUGUUAGAUUGGUGUGUGUCUAUAUAUAUAUAUACACAUACACACGUUGACUUUGGUCAAUAACAUCCGUCAACGUUACAUAUCUGAAGGUAAUGUAUUCAAAUCAUUCUAAUUUUUUUUGCACUUGUUGCGUUGUUUUAUGUCAUUAUAUAACUUGAAUGUUGUAAAAUUGUUCGUAAAUCCAUCAUUUCAUUUUAGUGAUGUUGAAUUUAUGUUAUUUCUU